rnacentral:rRNA from 1 species
AGCGAACGCUGGCGGCAGGCCUAACACAUGCAAGUCGAACGAACCUUUCGGGGUUAGUGGCGGACGGGUGAGUAACACGUGGGAACGUGCCUUUAGGUUCGGAAUAACUCAGGGAAACUUGUGCUAAUACCGAACGUGCCCUUCGGGGGAAAGAUUAAUCGCCUUUAGAGCGGCCCGCGUCUGAUUAGCUAGUUGGUUGAGGUAAUGGCUCACCAACGCGACGUUCAGUAGCUGGUCUGAGAGGAUGAUCAGCCACAUUGGGACUGAGACACGGCCCAAACUCCUACGGGAGGCAGCAGUGGGGAAUCUUGCGCAAUGGGCGAAAGCCUGACGCAGCCAUGCCGCGUGAAUGAUGAAGGUCUUAGGAUUGUAAAAUUCUUUCACCGGGGACGAUAAUGACGGUACCCGGAGAAGAAGCCCCGGCUAACUUCGUG